AGAUUUUAUAAACCGGGCCUUUGUACUGUGACUGAACUGCAUCAGUUAGGCAGGGGAAGCAAGAUGGAAUCACAGACACAGGUCCUCAUGUUCCUGCUGCUCUGGGUAUCUGGUACAUCUUUGGACAUUGAGGUGACCCAAUCUCCAUCCUCCCUGGGUGUUUCAGCAGGAGAGAAUGUCACUAUGAGCUGCAAAUCUAGUCAGAGUCUUUUAUGGAUUAAAGACCAGAAGAACUACUUGGUCUGGUUCCAGCAGAAACCAGGGCAGCCUCCUAAACCACUGAUCUACUAUGCAUCCACUAGAGCAUCUGGGGUCCCUGAACGCUUCAUAGGCAGUGGAUCUGGGACAGAUUUCACUCUUACCAUCAGCAGUGUACAGGCUGAAGACCUGGCAGUUUAUUACUGUCAUCAGCAUUAUGAUACUCCUCCACAGUGCUUCAGCCUCCUACAAAAUCCUCCUUGA